UCCGAUAUAGUCCAUCGGCUAGGAUAUCUCGCUUUCAACGCCUCUAGAGAGCACCGAGAAGAGCCGGGUUCGAUUCCCGGUAUCGGAA